CGAACUGAUUAGAAGCUUGCUUCUAUGACGUUAGCGGCGGACGCGGUAGAGAUAACACGUGGGCAACCUGCCUGUAAGACUGGGAUACCUUCAGAGAGAAACCGAAGCUAAUACCGGAUAGGAUCUUCUCCUUCAUGGGAGAUGAUUGAAAGAUGGUUUCGGCUAUAACUUACGAGUGGGCACGCGGUGCAUUAGCGAGUUGGUGAGGUAGCGUCUCACCACGGCGUCGAUGCAUCGUCGACCCGGGAGGGUGAUCGGCCACUCUGGGACUGAGACACGGGCCAGAAUCCUACGGGAGGCAGCCGUACGGAAUCUUCCGCAAUGGACGAAAGUCUGACGGAACAACGCCGCGUGAGUGAUGACGGCUUUCAGGUCGUAAGGCUCUGUUGGUAGGGAUUAACAAGUACUAGAGUAACUGCUCGUACCUUGACGGAUGCUCACCCGGAAGCCACGGCUAACUACGUGCAAGCAGCUGCGUUAAUACUUAUGUGGCGAGGGUUAUCCGGAAUUAUUGUGCGUAAAUUGCUCGCAAGCGAUCUCUUAAGUCUGAUGUUGAGGCCGCCCCGCUCAACUGUGUAUGAUCUUUGGACAUGGGGGGCACUUUGCC
rnacentral:rRNA from 1 species